CCAAGAACUUGCCAGUCAAGAUGAAAAACAACUUCUAAUGGAAUCCAGCUUGAAAGCAACUCAAGAGCAGCUAAGUGAGCAAAUAGCAGAAACAGUUUGCCAAGAACAGAACAGUAGAAAACCAGAGUCGAAGAGCUGGAGACCCUGAGAAAGCGUACUAUGACUUCUGAAGAAGAAAUUAGUGAUUACAAAGACAUGAUGGUGUGCACCAUAUGGAGCUACAACUAAGGCAGAAAUUCUCCCAUCCAUCACAAAAGGUUGAUUUUGUUUACCGUCGUCAAACUUAUUAUUGAAUAAUUCCUAUUUUGUUUAAAAUAUCAAGAAAAGGGUGGAGGACUUUAAGGUAAGAAUAACAGUAUCAAAGAAAGAGGAUAAAUAGCAGCUUUCUCAAGGCUUCAGUGUCUACUGGACCUGGAAUAAGCUGAAGUAGUCUCAAUCAGGUGAAGAACUAGAAAAUUGGAAGUG